UACGUAGGUGGCGAGCGUUAUCCGGAAUGAUUGGGCGUAAAGGGUGCGUAGGCGGCCUGCCAAGUCUGGAGUGAAAGGUACCGGCUCAACCGGUACAGGCUCUGGAAACUGGCGGGCUAGAGAGCAGGAGAGGGCGGUGGAACUCCAUGUGUAGCGGUAAAAUGCGUAGAUAUAUGGAAGAACACCAGUGGCGAAGGCGGCCGCCUGGCCUGUUGGUACUGACGCUGAGGCACGAAAGCGUGGGGAGCAAAUAGG
rnacentral:rRNA from 1 species